rnacentral:sRNA from 1 species
UGCCUAACCCUUAUAACCUAAAGGAUAUAAGGUAUGGCUCAUAUCCACUGCGACAUAGAGACGGCGUCUCUACCUACCACAUGUCGCAGUGGUCCUAUCCGCGAGGAUAGGAGGUGGUACCCGAAAGGGUGUCAUC